GCCGUCGGUACGGCGUUAAGUAUCCCGCCUGGGGAGUACGGUCGCAAGGNUGNNNCNCAAAGAAANUGACGGGNCCCCCCAAGCGUGGAGUAUGUGGUUUAAUUUCGAUGCAACNCGAAGAUCCUUNCCUAGGNNUGACAUCCUGGGAANCCCGCAGAGAUGCGGGANNNGCCUUCGGGGAAUCCAGABACAGGUGCUGCAUGGCUGUCGUCAGUUCGUGCCGUGAGGUGUUGGGUUAAGUCCCGCAACGAGCGCAACCCCUAUUCUCAGUUGCCAGCACAUAAUGGUGGGCACUCUGUGGAGACUGCCCGGGUUAACCGGGAGGAAGGUGGGGAUGACGUCAAKUCAUCAUGGYCCUUACGCCUAGGGCUACACACGUACUACAAUGGUGGGUAYWAAGGGCAGCGAAACCGCGAGGUCGAGCGAAUYUCUUUAAACCCUUUAUAGUCCKKAUUGCAGUCUGCAACUCGAAUGCAUGAAGUUGGAAUCGCUUGUAAUCCCKKUUCAGCAUGCCGGGGUGAAUACGUUUCCGGKCUUUGUACACACCGCCCGUYACACYACUAAAGUCGGUUCUACCCGWAGUUGCCGKACUAAUCCUUGGGAUGUAGGCGCUACGGUAGUGCUKKUAAUUGGGGUGAAGUCGUWACAAGGUUUCUUUUACUACUUCGCUCUCAGCGU
rnacentral:rRNA from 1 species